UCCAAGGCUGAGGCACAGGGCUCAUGGAGAACAUCUGGGAGCCUGGGUUGACGCUGGUCCUUCAGUUGUGUCUGAAUCUGCGACUCGAUGGACUGUAGCCCAAUAGGCUCCUCCGCCCAUGGAAUUUUCCAGAAAACCCCUUUAGCUGAAGCUCCAAUACUUUGGCCACCUGAUGCUAAGAACUGAGUCAUUGGAAAAGACUCUGAUGCUGGGAAAGAUUGAAGGCAGGAGACGGGAGCGACAGAGGAUGAGAUAGAUGGCAUCACCGAUGCAACAAACAUGAGUUUGAGGAAAAUUUGGACACAGGGAGAGAGAACAAAGAACAAAGAAGCCGAGGAACACCAAGGACUGUCAGCAGUCGCCUAGGCUGGAAGAGGCAAGGAUUCUUCCUCAGAGACUUCAGAGUGAGAAGGGCCUUGCCAACGCCUUAAUUCCUACUUCUCACCACCAAAACUGUGAAAAAAUUAAUUUUUCUACAUUAUAUAAAAAAGUUACAUGGAAACUUUACAACUCACAGUAACUGAUGUUUAACAGCCAAUUAGACUUAGUUGAAGAGAACGAUUGGAAGAUAGAUAAAAGGAAUAAAGACAUAUAAGGAAAGAGUAAAAAAUAGAUACUAAGCCUGAAGUAACUGAAAAGUCUAAUAAAGAGUAUGCAACAACAAAAAUAUCAGUAUUUUUUUAAUCAGUAUUGUAAUAAAUAUUAUUGAAAGCUUUCUCUUUGAAAUUGGGAGUAAGAUGCCCCCUGACCCCAACUUUGUUCAGCACCAUGUUUUCUAAUGAUUAAAAAAUGAACUUACCUAAGUAAGCAACAGGGUAAGGCUAAGAAAAGAAAAAAGUACCUAAGGAUUAGAAAGAAAUUAAUCAAACUGCCAUUAUUUGCAAAUGGAAGGACUUUGUACGUAAAAAAUUCAAAGAAUCAGGACCUCUGUAGUGAUCCAGUGGCAUAAGACUCCACACUAACAAUGCAAGGGCCUGAGCUGGAUCCCUGGUCAGAGAACUAGAUCCCACAUGCUGCAACUAAGACCCUUCACAACCAAAUAAAAAAAGAAAAUCCAAAGAAUCUACAUUUAAAUCAGCAUAAGCAUUAGCAAAACCACAAAAGUC